rnacentral:rRNA from 1 species
UACGUAGGGUGCGAGCGUUAAUCGGAAUUACUGGGCGUAAAGCGUGCGCAGGCGGUCCGCUAAGACCGAUGUGAAAUCCCCGGGCUUAACCUGGGAACUGCAUUGGUGACUGGCGGGCUGGAGUAUGGCAGAGGGGGGUAGAAUUCCACGUGUAGCAGUGAAAUGCGUAGAGAUGUGGAGGAAUACCGAUGGCGAAGGCAGCCCCCUGGGCCAAUACUGACGCUCAUGCACGAGAGCGUGGGGAGCAAACAGG